UCGAGAAUCUUCCGCAAUGGACGAAAGUCUGACGGAGCGACGCCGCGUGCGGGAUGAAGGCCUUCGGGUUGUAAACCGCUGUCAGAGGGGAGCAAAUUUUGAGCGAUCCUCAGAGGAAGCACAGGCUAAGUUCGUGCCAGCAGCCGCGGUAAUACGAACUGUGCAAACGUUAUUCGGAAUCACUGGGCUUAAAGGGUGCGUAGGCGGGUUUAAAGGUCUGAUGUGAAAGCCCACGGCUCAACCGUGGAAUUGCGUUGGAAACCAUAAGCCUUGAGGAGAUCAGAGGUGAGCGGAACUGAUGGUGGAGCGGUGAAAUGCGUUGAUAUCAUCAGGAACACCGGUGGCGAAAGCGGCUCGCUGGGAUCUUUCUGACGCUGAGGCACGAAAGCUAGGGGAGCGAACGGGAUUAGAUACCCCCGUAGUCC
rnacentral:rRNA from 1 species